rnacentral:tRNA from 1 species
CGGGGCGUGGCGCAGUAUGGCUAGCGCGCUUGCAUGGGGUGCAAGAGGUCCCCGGUUCAAGUCCGGGCGCCCCGACCA